rnacentral:lncRNA from 1 species
AAGUUAUAGAUUUUGUUAACCAAAAAGAAAUUUAAAUCUCAUUAACAUCUUUGUAUAGAACAUCUUUGAGCUUAAAUUCUCUUUUUGAGUGAGACAAUUAUCAUACCUGAUAUUAAUGACAAGGUCACAAAAUGAGGUCAUUUGAAGGUUGCCUGAAGCAAAUAUUGAAGACAAAAUAAAAAGAUACGAAAUAUUGAUAUAGCUCUAAGUCGAAUAUUACUUUUUGUAUUUCUCAAAUUCAUAAGGUAAAAACUUCAGUUUGCAAUGCAAUUUAUAAAACUUCAAAUU